ACGGGGGGUGCGAGCGUUGUUCGGAAUUAUUGGGCGUAAAGAGCGUGUAGGCGGCUGAAUAAGUCAGAUGUGAAAUCCCUGGGCUUAACCCAGGACGUGCAAUUGAUACUAUUGUGCUUGAGUAGGGGAGAGGAGGGUGGAAUGCCUGAUGUAGAGGUGAAAUGCUUAGAUAUGAGGAGGAACACCGGUGGCGAAGGCGGCUUACUGGGCUGAUACUGACGCUGAGGCGCGAGAGCGUGGGGAGCAAACAG
rnacentral:rRNA from 1 species